UGGGGAAUUUUGCACAAUGGGCGCAAGCCUGAUGCAGCGACGCCGCGUGAGGGAUGAAGGCCUUCGGGUUGUAAACCUUUUUCGCUCAUGGUCAAGCCGCAGCUUUGGGUUGUGGUGAGGGUAGUGGGUAAAGAAGCGCCGGCUAACUACGUGCCAGCAGCCGCGGUAAUACGUAGGGCGCGAGCGUUGUCCGGAAUCACUGGGCGUAAAGGGUUCGCAGGCGGAAUAACAAGUCAGAUGUGAAAGGCAUGGGCUCAACCCAUGUAAGCAUUUGAAACUGUAAUUCUUGAGAAGUGGAGAGGUAAGUGGAAUUCCUAGUGUAGCGGUGAAAUGCGUAGAUAUUAGGAGGAAUACCUGUGGCGAAGGCGACUUACUGGACACAAAUCUGACGCUGAGGAACGAAAGCGUGGGUAGCAAACAGG
rnacentral:rRNA from 1 species